rnacentral:rRNA from 1 species
UACGGAGGGGGCUAGCGUUGUUCGGAAUUACUGGGCGUAAAGCGCGCGUAGGCGGCUUUGUAAGUUAGAGGUGAAAGCCCGGAGCUCAACUCCGGAACUGCCUUUAAGACUGCAUCGCUAGAAUCGUGGAGAGGUGAGUGGAAUUCCGAGUGUAGAGGUGAAAUUCGUAGAUAUUCGGAAGAACACCAGUGGCGAAGGCGACUCACUGGACACGUAUUGACGCUGAGGUGCGAAAAGCGUGGGGAGCAAACAGG